GAUGAAGAACGCAGCGAAAUGCGAUAAGUAAUGUGAAUUGCAGAAUUCCGUGAAUCAUCGAAUCUUUGAACGCACAUUGCGCCCGCCAGUAUUCUGGCGGGUAUGCCUGUUCGAGCGUCAUUUCAACCAUCAAGCCCCCGGCUUGUGUUGGGGACCUGCGGCUGCCGCAGGCCCUGAAAUCCAGUGGCGGGCUCGCUAGUCACUCCGAGCGUAGUAAUACAUCUCGCUCAGGGCGUGCUGCGGGUUCCGGCCGUUAAAAAGCCUUAUUUACCCAAGGUUGACCUCGGAUCAGGUAGGAAGACCCGCUGAACUUAAGCAUAUCAAUAAGCGGAGGA
rnacentral:misc_RNA from 1 species